rnacentral:lncRNA from 1 species
GACCAUGAGUACUGUUUGAAUUCCAUUGAUGAUUGCCUUGGAAACUCACUGACUAGGCAUUCCAAAGGGAUGUUUAAGAGAAGAGACUGAGAUAAUAUGAAGACUAUUGGGGGAUAAUAUCUUGGCUACACCAAAGAUGGACUACAACAAAGGUCCAAGGCCUCUCGCUCUUUAGCGAGCAGAUCCAAGACCCCUAGAAAUCAAAAUGGAUACUUUCAUUCUUUGUGCAGGUCUACGAUGGCCUAAUAAUAUUUUUUGUCUGUGAGCAAGCU